rnacentral:lncRNA from 1 species
UUUUAAAUUCCUAGAAUAGGUUGAAUUUUAAAUUUGGUGUGUACUCUUGGCUUUACUACUUGUUCUGAAAAUGUUGGACUAACUGAUGUGCAUGAUGAAUCUAUUUGAUGAUUAUUGGAUGUGGAUGAAAAUUGAGUUGUAAUGCAUGAUGAUAUCCAGGAAAUAGAUGGGUGAUGAAUUUAUGAUUGUGGUCAUGAUGCUAGGCAUGGUGUAUGAAUGAACUUUGUGUGAGGAAGCAUGUGUGUGAGAUUUUGAGCUCCAGAAUUUUUAUUGUUGCAUGUAUUGUUCACAGGAAAACAUGGAUGAUAUUGCCUUAAUCUUAAUGAUCGAUUAAAUUGCAUGUGAAUGUCAUAUGAUCAAGGCCAUUUUUGAAAACCCUUCUCUAGCCAUAUUUUCACCCAAAGUGCUUGCAAUAUUAUACCCUUUUUGAACCUUAGCCUUAAACAGGAUGUGAACCCUUGUUUUGAAAUUCUUUACCUUGAGUUGGGAUAAGCUUAAUCGUAUGGGAUGAAAAGGUUCAAGUUUGGGGUUCUACGGGGGAAAAUUGAAAAAGCAAGUGAAAAACAUUGAGCUCAAAUGUUGCGAAAAGAAAAGAAAUUCAUGAGAAAAAGAAAAAGAAAAGAAAAGAAGAAAAGCAUGAAGAUGAGCUCAAUGAAAAAGAAAAGAAAAGGGGAAGAAGUUGGGAAUGAGAGAUAUUGGUGAGAGAGUUGUGCUUAAAUGUUGAAUAUUUUGAU